CGCCCCUGCUUGAGUAGCUGCUCUAGUUUAUUCCUCCCAAGCGAGUGGCCCGUCAAAACCAUGGGAACAUUUAAGGCACCAGAAAGAAGGGCUGCAGUAUCACCUGCAUCUGCAUAAUGUCCGUGAAUCACAUACGGCCAAACCGGCUGUCCAUUACCAAUCUGCUCUCCCAACACCUUUGACAUAUUGAGAAUAUGAGCUAAUGCUCCAUCCACAAACUCCUGGAUAUAAGGCCACAGUAAUUCUUUGUAAAGAUACUUAUCCCUUGGACCGAAAGG
rnacentral:misc_RNA from 1 species